rnacentral:rRNA from 1 species
AUGAACGCUGGCGGCGGUGCCUAACACAUGCAAGUCGAACGGGGUUAUGACGCUGAGGAGACUUCGGUCAAAUCUUGUUGUAACUUAGUGGCGGACGGGUGAGUAACGCGUGGAUAACCUGCCAUACACAGGGGGAUAACAGUUAGAAAUGGCUGCUAAUACCGCAUAAGCGCACGAGGAGGCAUCUUUUUGUGUGAAAAGCGAAUACGGUGUAUGAUGGGUCCGCGUCCGAUUAGCCAGUUGGCGGGGUAAGAGCCCACCAAAGCGACGAUCGGUAGCCGGCCUGAGAGGGUGAACGGCCACAUUGGGACUGAGAGACGGCCCAAACUCCUACGGGAGGCAGCAGUGGGGGAUAUUGCACAAUGGGGGGAACCCUGAUGCAAGCGACGCCGCGUGAGUGAAGAAGUUAUUCGUAAUGUAAAGCUCUAUCAGCAGGGAAGAAAUAGACGGUACCUGACUAAGAAGCACCGGCUAAAUACGUGCCAGCCGCCGC